rnacentral:rRNA from 1 species
GACGAACGCUGGCGGCGUGCCUAAUACAUGCAAGUCGAACGCAGUGGGGACGGGUGAGUAACCCGUGGGUAACCUCCCAUCAGAGGGGAUAACACUUGGAAACAGGUGCUAAACCGAUACUGAUGGAUGGACACGCGGUGCAUUAGCUAGUUGGUGAGGUAACGGCUCAACAAGUCAACGAUGCAUAGAUGGCCUGAGAGGGUGAUCGGCCACACGGGGACUGAGACACGGCCCAGACUCCUACGGGAGGCAGCAGUAGGGAAUCUUCGGCAAUGGACGAAAGUCUGACCGAGCAACGCCGCGUGAGUGAAGAAGGUUUUCGGAGCGUAAAACUCUUUUGUUAGAGAAGCGGUAUCUAACCAGAAAGCCACGGCUAACUACGUGCCAGCCGCCGCGGUAAUUC